AUAAAGCAAAUAUAUGCCUGGGCACGCUUUGCUUUAGCAGUUGUGUGAUUUGUGUAAUGUAGCCUUGACCUUUUGUUUCAGCCGCGAUGUGUUGUAAUUGCCUCUCUUUGAGCUAAGCAUCUACUUACGGCCUGUCUGUUGUUGUUGUUUUUAACAGCCUCGUCAGAGAGCUCUUCGUAAACCGUUGCCAGCCUCUGAAGCUGCCGCCCUGCCAGAUGAUUCCGAAAUGAACUUUUUUCUCCACGAGAAAUCAAACAGAAAUACGGCAUGAAGCGAUGGCACUGCCAAAAGAAGACCACUCUCGAGAACUGGAGGAGUAGCCAAAGCCCAACCCGUCUCGACAGCGGGAUAAAACAUGAAGAAUCUUCGUUUGCUCGGGGGAUUGAAAUAAUGGUGCUGACUUUCUCUGGCUUGUCAUUGGUGGACGCUUUAUGCUGGAAAACCUGCUUCUGAUACUCAUCACUGUGCAUAAACUCCAUGUUCCCAUCAGGGAACUCUCUGACCUUCACUAAAAGUUCUGGGUUUGGGGAUUCCGUUUUAGGUUUUUUUGGGGGGGAGGGGCGGUUCUUUAGCAUGACAAUACUGGAUUAUAUUAUGUAUGCAGACGGCAUGAUGUUUAUGGGAUGGGUUGGGCGGGAUGUUCCAUCUCUGCGAACUCACUGGAAAUGUUCACAAUUAUCCUUGCUCCCUGAUAGGAAUGUCGGCAUAUCCUGUAUGUGUUAGUGAUGCAGCUGAAUGGUAAAUUCCAUCCUAUGGUAUCGGCAUUCCAUACGUGAUCUCCACACAGAUGUUCUCACGGAUUUGGUUGUGCUGUGGGAAACUUUCUGAGGACACAUCUGUUAAAAAUGAGUUUCAUGGAUCUCCCUUUCACUAGGAUUGUACCUUAAGUCUAGCUCAUGAUUUGCAUCCUUCAUCGAUUCCUGCAAGUUUGGUCUGGUAACUUGUCUGGAUGUUGUUAGGCUAUUUUGACACUUUACUUAUAGAAGUAGUAGAAUGAGAGCACGUACAUUUCUUUGCUGCACUAAUUCCUCCCACUACCACCACCCCCCAAAAAAAAUGACAAGUAAGACUCUGUUGUUUUGAUGCAUGUUCAAUAAUAGAGGGGAAGAAAAUAAUCUCAGAUAAAAAAGAUUGCUCUCUCGUUGCAAGAACCCCUUGUUUUUGAUGAUGAAGACAGCUGUAUCAUUGUAAAAACAGUGAGGCAAUUCCCGAAGCAUCCUCAUCACACUGGGUGAAAGCAUCUUUUCCUUUCUUUUUAUCCUUAUGGGGUUUUUAUUUCAAAAUAUAUGCAUUGUUUCCAGGGUGACCUCUGGAAAACCUGCAUUCAUCUGCAGCAAAAGCCAGCUGUACAGAGUACUGAUUGGCUAGCGCAUGGAACGCCAUGAACACCACCUGACCGCCCGCUUUUUCUCCCUGGAAACUGGAUGCUCGCCAGUUUUUAACAGGAGAAAAAUGGGAAAAGGUGAACCUAGAGAUGAAUACACUUACAUAUGCUAUUUUAUAAUAAAAUAUAUCCCCCCAAAAAAAACAACAACAACCCCACACUCUUUGGAAACAGGACUAAUUGCUUGAUCCAGGGCUUGACUUGUAGGCGAGGAAGUUCUUGAGACCACUGUUUAAACGUUAUGUCUGUCUUCACCAUUAGAAGCAAUUUGUGCCGAUGGUCAACAGUAAGAAUACUUGGGGGACAGGGAAAUGACUACCUUACCCUUUUUGUUUUUAGGUACAUGGAGAAAUUUUGCAGAUUAUGAUGUUGCAAGUUUAGGAAUGAAGACUGCAGUUAUUUAUAGGAUGGUAAAAUUAACCACCAAUCACUUCCAAGUCUCUUUGGAGGACUGAAGCUUUCAGUAAAGCAGAGCUUUCGCAAAUGUGUUCCUGAGCAGGUCAGUCCAGUGACAUUUUCUUCCUUUGACCAGCUCAGUCCCUGGGCUUCACACCUUCCUUCCAUCAUAUGUGCCAUAUUGUCCUCAGAUCUCUCUUGGGUUAGCCUGAUAACUCACUGGCAGUAGAGUAAGCCAAAAUCCCAAAGGCCACAGAUAUUUUGGAAUUCUUCAAUAGAGUGUCAAGGAGCUAUCUAUUGAACUAUGUUCUGUUUUGAAUCAGAGCUGUCCCUUUUUCAGCUUAAGCCUCUUGCUGUCAUAAAAUGCUGUCUUACUAGCAAAACUGUUUACUUUCAACAUAACUGUAGCUGGCUCGAGACUGUUGCAUCUGCACUGAACUUAGCUCAGCACCGUUCGCUUUCUAGGUUGCCAAAGCAGAGCGGCUUAAUUUCCAUCCAUAAAAGUGCUUUCCAUCACGUUUCCUAUUGGAAACAAAACUUUCAGUAGUGAAAGAUAAUGGUAGCAUCCAUAGGAAACCCAAAGGUCUAGAUCCUCCUAGACCCUAAAUCAAGAGAUAGGAACUCUGCAAUUGAUCUCUCUUUCUCCCACCUGAUAGACUGUUACACAUGCCAAGUGACUUUGAAUAUAUAUGAACUUCCAUGUAAUUCAUACGUUGAACCUUGUCAAUCCUACAAGUUGCACCUUAAGAAACCAGCUGUUCUGUGAGCACACAUGGAUCUUGAACUCCUCACCUCUUUUCCUUCUUGUGAUCACUUGCGAUUUACACUUGUAAUCACUUGCCAUUGGCAGCCCAGAUGCAGCAAUGACUUGUGGACUGGGCAGCCUUCACAAAAGAACCCAAGAAACUCAGCGUCUACGCAUUUGCUAAAUCAAGACUGGCCAUCUCAGCAUAGCCUUACGGCGGUUGCGUGAAAUUGCUAUGGCUGACCUGCUUUGAGGAAGAAAUCAAAACCCAUAUGGAUUUAGUAAGCAUCUCACUUUGUCCUGGUCAAGCACUUGUAUCACAUUGCCAACGUUUUCUCAAUCUGGCCCUUGAAGCUUGACCAUAUUUCUGUUAUUAGGUUCUUCAUUUGUGAUUUCCCACACAGAUGAUUUAGUGUGUUCUGUACCUGGAGGAAAGAGUCUUUCUGAAUAAAAAUCAUGUCCCAAGCAUCUGCAUUGUUGUGGGAGGGGGUGGGUUGCAAUGCUUUGUGAUGUCCAUGCAGAAAGUUCACAUCCUGGUAUUUCAAGCCAAUUCCGACUGCUUUUCUGGUGCUGUGGCAUUGUUCCUGUCUGCUGAGCUUGACAGCAGCUGCUGGUUUAGAGGUGUAAAAACAUGACAUGAAAGUUCCCUAGGAAGGGGACAGGUGUGUUUUGCAGAAGUAGUUGAAGACCACAGGUUUUACUCAGGGUCAACCCACUGAAACGAAUGAACGCUGGGUCCAUUAAGUUCAGUGAGUCUAGUCGUGAGUAAAAGGCAGUUGACUACCACCCCGGGACAAUGUGGUUGAACUUGGCUCUUCCAUAAAAAUAAUCAAUUGCCCUUUGUAUUAUACAAUACAGUCGCUGAUACUAACUCCUGUAUGGGACCAUGUCUACAACCAGUGCCUCAGAUUAUUAUUGACUAGUGAUGAACCUACUUCUGUGUGUGCUGAGGGGAACUAACUGGUUUCCUUGCGCACUCUCUCAGCACUUUCCUCUUCCACCAGCAGCUGUUCGUUGCGUGUACAGCCUUCGAGCAUUAUCAGACUCCCUUGGUAAUCCAUGUGUAGACUCUCAAUAAAGUGUUAAUGUAAAAGAAGAAGAGGAGGAGGAGGAGGAGGAGGAGUCCUGAUCAGACCCAAAGACCCAUCUUUGGUCCAGCAUUUGGUUUCUAACUCUGACCAGCCAGUCACCUCUAGAAGCUCAGGGUGUGAAGGCCUCCUUCAUUGUUUGUCUCCAGCAUCAGGAAUUUAAUUAAUCGACCACCCUGAUCUGUCGUCCUUUUCCCUCAGGGUUAGAUGGGCUGGUUUCUGAAUCCUGUAUGAAAGAAUUACAAAAAGGAGAGAAAAGGCAUUUGCAGGCUCAACAUGCAGAGAACAUCCUUUGCAAGAUUUCCCCUUAGUGAAGCUCCUCUCUGGACCCUUUCCAACAUGUCAACAUCUGCCACGCCCCUCGCUGAACUUCGGGUGAUAUUUAGCUAAGUUUUGCACAGAGUAGUCCCAUUUAAAUUAAUGGACCAAAUUUAAUCGAAUACCGCCCAUAGUUCUCUAGCUGUCAUCUCCCUGCAGCGAUUUUCCUAUUAUGUAUCUUGAGGAACUCUUUACAUGCUGACUUGCGUGCUGAAGACACCUACCAUUAAAUCCUUGUGUGUUGCAACAAUGGUGCAUGUUCUCAGUCCAUGCGGGGCACUGGCUGGGCCUGUUAGGUCUCAUCAUGGGCCCUUGUGAUUUGAGGAAGCACACCCAAUAGGGGAAGCUGAGUGGUGGUGGCAGCUAAGCUGUUUUUCAGGAAAUUGUGCCUGCCAUUGUUGACCCAACUCAUUAACCUCCUGAGGAACACCAGGGGAAUUUUAAAGCACAGUUUGAAGUUAGAUCUUCCUCAUAAGCUUCCUCUUCUGUUUUGUGGUGAUUUAAAAAAAUAAAAAAAAAUUCCAAGAUGAUUUCCAGUAACGAAAAAAUAUGUGAGCUGUUAUGUAUUGUUAUAUAGGCCUAGAAACUAAAUGUGUUCUCAGGUAUUACCAUUACCCAAAGAUGAGGGUAAGCACUGGGUAACCAAUAUAAUGGCUGCCAUUUUGUUUGUGUUUGAGGGGUAUACCCACAAGUCUUUGCCAUACUUGCUUCCAUUCCACGGUCACCAUUGUUGGCCUGACUGUCCGUAGUGACACCUUGGGGCACAGACCAGCCAAAAGGACCUUCAAACUCUUCUCCUCAGCUGGGCCCUUUGGGUUUCAAUCAACUGUUCUCAUUCCAGUCCUCUAAAAUGACAAUUGGAAAGUAUGUUUCUGUUGCUCAUGUUUCCUCCGAGGUCUUGGGCAAGGUGGAAUUCAUUCUGAGAUUUGGUCUGGGCAGAAAAGCCCUCAUUUGCAAAAUGACCAUGAGAUCCAAAUAAAGGUCUGAUCAACUACAAUGUA
rnacentral:lncRNA from 1 species